GCUGGGCAUGGUGGUGUGUGCCUGUAAUCCCAGCUUCUCAGGAGGCUGAGGCAGGAGAAUCACUUGAACCCAGGAGGCGGAGGUUGCAGUGAGCUGAGAUCGCGCCACUGCACUCCAGCCUGGGUGACAGAGUGAGACUCUGUCUUUA
rnacentral:sRNA from 1 species